rnacentral:rRNA from 1 species
GACGAACGCUGGCGGCGUGCUUAACACAUGCAAGUCGAACGGUGAGGCCCUUCGGGGUACACGAGUGGCGGACGGGUGAGUAACACGUGGGUGAUCUGCCCUGCACUUCGGGAUAAGCCUGGGAAACUGGGUCUAAUACCGGAUAGGACCACUGCCUGCAUGGGUGGUGGUGGAAAGCUUUUGCGGCGUGGGAUGGGCCCGCGGCCUAUCAGCUUGUUGGUGGGGUGAUGGCCUACCAAGGCGACGACGGGUAGCCGGCCUGAGAGGGUGACCGGCCACACUGGGACUGAGAUACGGCCCAGACUCCUACGGGAGGCAGCAGUGGGGAAUAUUGCACAAUGGGCGCAAGCCUGAUGCAGCGACGCCGCGUGAGGGAUGACGGCCUUCGGGUUGUAAACCUCUUUCAGCACCGACGAAGCGCAAGUGACGGUAGGUGCAGAAGAAGGACCGGCCAACUACGUGCCAGCCGCCGCGGUAA